AUAGUUUCUUGUGCUUAUUAAAUAAGAAAUUACGCCUGCCCCCUAGAAAGACUUAAAGGGCUGCAGUAUUGUGACUGUACAAAGGUAGCAUAAUCAUUAGCCUGUUAAUUAGGGGCUGGUAUGAAUGGCUAAACGUAGGAAGACUAUUAUUAAUUAGUAAUUGAAAUUUUCUUUUGAGUUAAAAGACUUAAAUAAUAAUAUAAGACAAGAAGACCCUAUUAAAGUUUAUUAUUUUAUUGAUCAAUAUAAUAAAUAAAUAAAAUCAAGGUUAAAAUUUAGCUGGGGCGGCAUAAUACUAAAACAGUAUUUAUUUAAAAUAAUUUAUUUAGCUUUAAUUAUUAUGGGCCUAAAAGAUAGCUACAAGAAUUAGUUACUAUAGGGAUAACAGCGUUAUGCUAUCCCCGAGCUCUUAUCAACAAUAGUGUUUGCGA
rnacentral:rRNA from 1 species